rnacentral:rRNA from 1 species
ACGUUAGCGUCGGACGGGUGAGUAACACGUGGGUAACCUACCUAUAAGACUGGGAUAACUUCGGGAAACCGGAGCUAAUACCGGAUAAUAUUUCGAACCGCAUGGUUCGAUAGUGAAAGAUGGUUUUGCUAUCACUUAUAGAUGGACCCGCGCCGUAUUAGCUAGUUGGUAAGGUAACGGCUUACCAAGGCGACGAUACGUAGCCGACCUGAGAGGGUGAUCGGCCACACUGGAACUGAGACACGGUCCAGACUCCUACGGGAGGCAGCAGCC